GGAGGGUCCAGCUCAGUGGUAGAGCGCGUGCUUAGUGUGCACGAGGUCCUGGGUUCAACCCCCAGUGCCUCCC
rfam:Camelus ferus unplaced genomic scaffold scaffold707, whole genome shotgun sequence.